rnacentral:rRNA from 1 species
UAUGGCGACCGGCGCACGGGUGAGUAACACGUAUCCAACCUGCCGAUGACUCGGGGAUAGCCUUUCGAAAGAAAGAUUAAUACCCGAUGGCAUAGUUCUUCCGCAUGGUAGAACUAUUAAAGAAUUUCGGUCAUCGAUGGGGAUGCGUUCCAUUAGGUUGUUGGCGGGGUAACGGCCCACCAAGCCUUCGAUGGAUAGGGGUUCUGAGAGGAAGGUCCCCCACAUUGGAACUGAGGCACGGUCCAA